GGGUCACUGCUACGUUUAUUAUUUUAAGUGGAAUGGAAUGCGUUGAGCUUGAUAAUGAUGCAGAUGAUGAUGACCCAUUUGAGUUGAAAAGUAAAAAAGAGAACCGUCUGGAG